AUACUUACCUGGACGUUGUCUAACGGGUGAUCAGCAAUGCCUAUGGCCUAGACCCGUGACCAUCAUUGCACUCUGAAGGGGCGCUGGUCUACCAUCUGCCCAAGUGGCAGAGUGGACGUCAUAAUUUGUGUUAGGGGGGUUCGCAUCCGCGCGGCCCCUAC